rnacentral:rRNA from 1 species
GACGAACGCUGGCGGCGCGCCUAACACAUGCAAGUCGAACGAGCGAGAGGAGGUUUCCUUUCUCAAGCGAGUGGCGAACGGGUGUGUAACGCGUGAGGCACCUUCCUCAAAGAGGGGGACAACAGUUGGAAAGGACUGCUAAUACCGCAUAAGCCCACGACCCGGCCUGGGGUAGAGGGAAAAGGAGCAAUCCGCUUUGGGUUGGCCCCGCGUGCGAUUCGCUAGUUGGUGAGGUAAUGGCCGGCCCAGGCGACGAUCGGUACCCGGACUGAGAGGUUGAACGGCCACAUUGGGACUGAGACACGGCCCAGACUCCUGCGGGAGGCAGCAGUGGGGAAUAUUGCACAAUGGGGGAAACGCAGAUGCAGCGAGGCCGGGUGGAGGAAGAAGGUCUUCGGAUUGUAAACUCCUGUUGUGGAGGAAGAUAAUGACGGUACUCAACAAGGAAGUGACGGCUAACUACGUG